rnacentral:rRNA from 1 species
UACGGGGGGGGCAAGCGUUGUUCGGAAUUACUGGGCGUAAAGGGCUCGUAGGCGGCCAACUAAGUCAGACGUGAAAUCCCUCGGCUUAACCGGGGAACUGCGUCUGAUACUGGAUGGCUUGAGUUUGGGAGAGGGAUGCGGAAUUCCAGGUGUAGCGGUGAAAUGCGUAGAUAUCAGGAGGAACACCGGCGGUGUAGACGGCUCUCUGGACCGUAACUGACGCUGAGACACGAAAGCGUGGGGAGCAAACAGG